UACAGCCAUAUCAUGAUGCCACACCAGUUUUUUUACGAUCACUGAAGUAAAGCAACAUCACGCUUGGUCAGUACCUAGAUGGGUAACCACUUGGGAAUACCAGGUACUA